rnacentral:rRNA from 1 species
GGCGUGCCUAAUACAUGCAAGUAGAACGCUGAAGGAGGAGCUUGCUUCUCUGGAUGAGUUGCGAACGGGUGAGUAACGCGUAGGUAACCUGCCUGGUAGCGGGGGAUAACUAUUGGAAACGAUAGCUAAUACCGCAUAAUAUUGACUAUUGCAUGAUAGUCAGUUGAAAGGUGCAACUGCACCACUACCAGAUGGACCUGCGUUGUAUUAGCUAGUUGGUGGGGUAACGGCUCACCAAGGCGACGAUACAUAGCCGACCUGAGAGGGUGAUCGGCCACACUGGGACUGAGACACGGCCCAGACUCCUACGGGAGGCAGCAGUAGGGAAUCUUCGGCAAUGGACGGAAGUCUGACCGAGCAACGCCGCGUGAGUGAAGAAGGUUUUCGGAUCGUAAAGCUCUGUUGUAAGAGAAGAACGAGUGUGAGAGUGGAAAGUUCACACUGUGACGGUAUCUUACCAGAAAGGGACGGCUAACUACGUGCCAGCAGCCGCGGUAAUACGUAGGUCCCGAGCGUUGUCCGGAUUUAUUGGGCGU